rnacentral:rRNA from 1 species
GACGAACGCUGGCGGCGCGCCUAACACAUGCAAGUCGAACGGAGCGCAUCGGAAGAUCCUUUCGGGGUGAUUUUGGUGUUGCUUAGUGGCGAACGGGUGAGUAACACGUGAAUAACCUACCCUCGAGCGGGGGACAACAUUUGGAAACAGAUGCUAAUACCGCAUAAGACCACGGUGUCGCAUGGCACAGUGGCCAAAGCAGCAAUGCACUUGAGGAUGGAUUCGCGUCCAAUUAGCUAGUUGGUGGGGUAAAGGCCCACCAAGGCGACGAUUGGUAGCCGGACUGAGAGGUUGAACGGCCACAUUGGGACUGAGACACGGCCCAGACUCCUACGGGAGGCAGCAGUGGGGAAUAUUGGGCAAUGGGGGAAACCCUGACCCAGCGACGCCGCGUGAGGGAAGAAGGUUUUCGGAUUGUAAACCUCUGUCUUCGGGGAAGAAGAAGUGACGGUACCCGAGGAGGAAGCCACGGCUAACUACGUGCCAGCCGCCGCAGUAAAAC